rnacentral:rRNA from 1 species
AUUGAACGCUGGCGGCAGGCCUAACACAUGCAAGUCGAGCGGAUGAAGGGAGCUUGCUCCUGGAUUCAGCGGCGGACGGGUGAGUAAUGCCUAGGAAUCUGCCUGGUAGUGGGGAUAACGUCCGGAAACGGGCGCUAAUACCGCAUACGUCCUGAGUGAGAAUGUGGGGGAUCUUCGGACCUCACGCUAUCAGAUGAGCCUAGGUCGGAUUAGCUAGUUGGUGGGGUAAAGGCGUACCAAGGCGACGAUCCGUAACUGGUCUGAGAGGAUGAUCAGUCACACUGGAACUGAGACACGGUCCAGACUCCUACGGGAGGCAGCAGUGGGGAAUAUUGGACACUGGGCGAAAGCCUGAUCCAGCCAUGCCGCGUGUGUGAAGAAGGUCUUCGGAUUGUAAAGCACUUUAAGUUGGGAGGAAGGGCAGUAAGUUAAUACCUUGCUGUUUUGACGUUACCAACAGAAUAAGCACCGGCUAACUUCGUG